rnacentral:rRNA from 1 species
GACGAACGCUGGCGGCGUGCUUAACACAUGCAAGUCGAACGGAAAGGCCCUGCUUUUGUGGGGUGCUCGAGUGGCGAACGGGUGAGUAACACGUGAGUAACCUGCCCUUGACUUUGGGAUAACUUCAGGAAACUGGGGCUAAUACCGGAUAGGAGCUCCUGCUGCAUGGUGGGGGUUGGAAAGUUUCGGCGGUUGGGGAUGGACUCGCGGGUUAUCAGCUUGUUGGUGGGGUAGUGGCUUACCAAGGCUUUGACGGGUAGCCGGCCUGGGAGGGUGACCGGCCACAUUGGGACUGAGAUACGGCCCAGACUCCUACGGGAGGCAGCAGUGGGGAAUAUUGCACAAUGGGCGGAAGCCUGAUGCAGCAACGCCGCGUGCGGGAUGACGUCCUUCGGGUUGUAAACCGCUUUCGCCUGUGACGAAGCGUGAGUGACGGUAAUGGGUAAAGAAGCACCGGCUAACUACGUG